rnacentral:lncRNA from 7 species
CCGUCCCCCCCUGACCCCAAGACUGACGCUGAUAGCCCAUGGUUGUCUCGGUUCUAAAUGCGACGGGGGUGUUAUGGGGGGGGGGGGUUGGGGGGAAGGGGGGGGGGGGGAUUUGGGGUCAGUGGGGCAGAACGGGGGGGCAGUGGGGUGGAUUGGGGGGUGGUAGCGUGGGAUUGAGGGGCUAUUUGGGGUCAGUGGGGUGGGAUUUGGGGUCAGCGGGGGAGAACCCUACGGGGGGGCUUUUUAGGACAGGGGUUUUAUUGCGGGGGCACUUUAGGGUCCUAUUUUUUGGGGGGGGGGGGGGGGGGUCUUUUUGGGACCAAAUUGGGGGGGGGGCACUUUAGGACCGACUUUUUUGCGAGGGGGGGCAUUUUAGGACCCAAUUGUUUGGGGGAGGGGGGGGUCCUUUGGGAACCUAAUUGGGGGGGGGGGGAGGGGGGCACUUUAUUACCGAUCUUUGGGGCUGAGGCGCCCCCUGGCGGUCAAACAGCGCUACGAAUGGGGACCUUUGCGCCUUUCCGCGCGGGGGGGGCAGAGCGGGGGGGCCGUAUGAGUGUAUAUGGCCCCGCCCCCCCCCGGCUUCCACCCCCUUCCCCCCACCCCCCCACCAGCGCUUCCUGCCCCGGGGCUGCGCCGCACCCAACGCUGCGUUCCGGGUUUUUUUUUAAGGGGGGGGGAAUCAUAAUUAAUAUUUUUAAUUGGGGGGGGGGUCCUUAGACGUGGGGGGGGUCUUUGGGGGGGGGGUCGUGAUGGGGUCGGUGUGGAAGCGGCUGCAGCGUGCGGGGAAACGGGCGGCCAAAGUGCGGUUCGAGGCGGAGUUGGAGGAAGUGCUGCUCGAGGGGGGGGGCGGUGGCAGCCCGACAAAGUGGUGGUGGUCUGGACCCGACGGAACAGGAGGGUCUGCAGCAAGCCCCACAGCUGGCAGCCCGGAAUCGAGAACCCCUACCGGGGGUUGGUGGUGUGGGUGGUGCCCGAGAGCCUCCAGGUCGUGGUCACGCUAUACCGGGACCCCCACGCCACCGCCUAUGACCCCAAAGAAUGGACCUUCGUGGUGGAGAACGUGA